rnacentral:lncRNA from 1 species
AACAAAGAAAAAUUAGGUAAAAACAACAAUAAGCAGUUGCGAGCCGCACCUGCAGAGGAUAAAAUGUCCAGCUGUCUCUCCGUCCCCAAACGACCCCGUUUUAACCUUUGUAAAUCCCAGUCAUUGAUCAUCAUGGAUCUAAUAGCUAGGAACUGAUUAAUCCCUUACUAUAUUAAUGUCUGAAAUACCUCCACCCCUCUCAUUUCAAACCCCAUCAGUCUCUCACCUCUCUCAAAGAACCCAAACCCUAGCCGCCCCUAAUUGCCCAAACCCUACCACCUGGUGGCACCGUUCCAAACACCCACAUCUUCUAACCAGGCAACCAUCAUAACCCCAUCGUCCUAUACCCAUCACCAAUCGCUCAAAAAUCCUUACCCAUUUGCUCUAAUUUCAGAUCUAAAUUCUGAAAGAAAUGACCAACCCUAAUUUGUCCUCUUCUCUUUGAUUUUUGGGGGUUUAGGGCUCGAUUUGAGUUAAAGUUCAUGCUAAUCGAUUGUAUAUUGAAAAGAACAAUCGAUUAGCAUUAGUUUUGGCUUAUCUCGAGACCACCGAAUUCCGGCCAAGUCAGCACUGAUCGACCAAGC